rnacentral:lncRNA from 1 species
GGGAAACAGAAUCACUAUUUGUCAUGAGAUAAGGGGUUUCUUACAGGAAUUAGACCUGGCUCAAUUAUGAGAGGAGCUGUGGAGGUGACAGUGCAGGAGGGAAGUGGGAGGAUCAAAGUAGUCAAAAUCCAGUGUGACUGAGAAGUCAAGCAUAUCCAGCCUCCAAGAUGGGACUUUGCAGACGAGUGUCACAGGAGGCCUCUGUGGGUGGCUGUGCCUCUGCAAGACUGCCGGCAAGCAUCUGAGGUAGGUCCCGGGGCUCUCCUUGGUCAGCAGGAUGAAUAGUCGGAAAGAAGGACUGGAAGCAUAGAGGAGGAGGGUGAAGACAAGCUGGAGCCCACUGGCACCUUGGCAUUUUUUUGGACACUGCAUCUAACGUUGAUGACCUUCAGCCAGGAACCACAGCUGCCUCACUUUUGCCGUCUAUAUUCCAUACAGGUACUCUCUGGGCCAACUCUCAACCAGAAACAUACAAGAACGGGCAUCUUAGGAGGUGACUUAAUGGAGUUGACACAGGACAAACUACCCCCAGGAUUUAGAAUCUGAGAGAAGAGGAAAGUAGUGAAGGGUCAGGGAAGACGUUCGGCUGCAGAAGUUGAGUGGGAGCCGUGGAAGAACCUGCCAACAUCAAAUACGAAACAGGACAGCAACAGCAAGCAGGGUUUGUUUAUUUAUUUACUCAUUUU